rnacentral:rRNA from 1 species
UGGGGAAUUUUGGACAAUGGGCGCAAGCCUGAUCCAGCCACGCCGCGUGUCUGAAGAAGGCCUUCGGGUUGUAAAGGACUUUUGUCAGGGAAGAAAAGGCUGUUGCUAAUAUCAGCGGCUGAUGACGGUACCUGAAGAAUAAGCACCGGCUAACUACGUGCCAGCAGCCGCGGUAAUACGUAGGGUGCAAGCGUUAAUCGGAAUUACUGGGCGUAAAGCGAGCGCAGACGGUUACUUAAGCAGGAUGUGAAAUCCCCGGGCUCAACCUGGGAACUGCGUUCUGAACUGGGUGACUAGAGUGUGUCAGAGGGAGGUAGAAUUCCACGUGUAGCAGUGAAAUGCGUAGAGAUGUGGAGGAAUACCGAUGGCGAAGGCAGCCUCCUGGGAUAACACUGACGUUCAUGCUCGAAAGCGUGGGUAGCAAACAGGAUUAGAUACCCUGGUAGUCCACGCCCUAAACGAUGUCAAUUAGCUGUUGGGCAACUUGAUUGUUCAGUAGCGUAGCUAACGCGUGAAAUUGACCGCCUGGGGAGUACGGUCGCAAGAUUA